ensembl:snRNA U6 U6 spliceosomal RNA
CUACUUGCUUCAGCAGUACACAUACUAAAAUUGGAAUGAUACAGACAUUAGCACGGUCCCUGUGCAAGGAUGACACAGAUUCAUGCAGCGUUCCAUAUUUUU